UUCAGGGAUCGAGUAAUCUGCCAAGCAAGAGUUUAUUCAAGCACAGUUUGAAAUAAAGGUUUCAAAUGCAUAGCCUGUCGAUACUUUGGAAGGAUUCUCAUCAUAACGAGUAUGCAAUUUGCUAUAAAGAAGAAUGCCCAUUACGGACUAAAUGUUUAUGUCCUCCUAAAAUUCAUAUGUUGAAGGCCUAACUCUCAAUGUGAUGAUUAUGUGGAGAUGGUGCCUUUGGGAGGAUAUGGGAGGACACCUGAGACGGCAGGCCAGAAGUCACUCAGUAGGAGAAACAUCCGUUAGAAGUAAUAAUGUGGGAUUGCUGAAGUAAAGACUAUAGGAAGAAAAAAGUGUCUGUGUGUAGGAAACGGAAAGGGAGAGAAAAAUACACUGAGAUGGUAAAGUAAGGAAGUGGAAGAUCAGCAGAAUGUGCAGAUGCCAAGCCAUCCAAGAAAAUCAUCUCUUGUGAUUGUUGCGAAGUCAACUAGCUAAUGUGACUCACUGCUAGGCUGUUGGAUCUGAGACUUAUGUGGGAUAAUUUAGAAACUUGCUAGUGUCUUAAGAUCAAUUACUCACCAAUGAGAGUGGCAUUGAACUGUGAAUGUUCCUCCUAGAUUUUCCAUGAAGACUAAUGGUUUUGUCUUGUCUUGAAUUUGUUUUAAUUACAAUUUGUAUACAUCCUGUUCCACCCUGAAAUUUUUAUUUUCCAAAUGGUUUUUCAUUUAAAGAGACUAAAUAAAGGUU
rnacentral:lncRNA from 10 species